rnacentral:rRNA from 1 species
ACAGAUCGUUCAGAGUUUGAUCCUGGCUCAGGAUGAACGCUAGCGGCAGGCUUAACACAUGCAAGUCGAGGGGCAGCAUAAACAUUGCUUGCAAUGUUUGAUGGCGACCGGCGCACGGGUGCGUAACGCGUAUGUAACCUACCUCAAACAGGGGCAUAACACUGAGAAAUUGGUACUAAUUCCCCAUAACACUUCGGGAGGCAUCUUCUGAAGUUGAAAGUUCCGGCGGUUUGAGAUGGACAUGCGUUGUAUUAGCUAGUUGGUGGGGUAACGGCUCACCAAGGCGACGAUACAUAGGGGACUGAGAGGUUAACCCCCCACAUUGGUACUGAGACACGGACCAA